AUCAAUAAUGACGAAAUGAAAUGGAAGGAAGGACACAAGUUGGAUCGCCUUCAUAGCCGAGUGGAGUGUUUUUCCUCUUUUUAAACACAUUACUGCUGAAUUCCACUAGCAUAUUUAGCAUGACAACGCUCCGAUUGUUACGGAACUGCUUGUUUCUCGGUGGGCAGCGCCGACUGGCUCAUCGGUUUCUCUGGGUGUAGUCCCAUCCCUGGCCCGCAGUCCGCACAAUCGAUAACAACGAACCUACACGUCUGUAGCAUAACAGACUUACACAACACUAUGCAAAGCGAACCACAAAUCGAUAUCGUCAAACAAUCGGAACUUCUAACUCAUGAACAAAAUAAACAGCUGUAACAACUAUGAACAUGUAAACAACAAGGAUCGGGCCCUGGUUCCGGACCCAGCGUACCCACCCAACCAUGAGACGAUCACCUACUCGUCUCCCACGUUUUGGCCACUAAAUGGCCUACAUUAGCCCGUGUCGCCUGUUAUGCCAACUCUCCCCAUCAAUAUUACCCAUCAAUAUUACUUUUAUUUACAUGCUUUCUUUCAAUAUGUGCGUUUAAUUGGUUGCGUUUUCUUAAAAUUUAUAGCAAUUAUAUUCAUUGCUUAUGGCAUUUCCCUUUGCAGCUAUUUAGAAAAUCAUGCAAGUGGAUAUUUCGUUAACUUCACAGAUGAAUUUGUAUUCAUGCAAGUGAACUUGUCUUCCCCGGAAUUCGAUUUUUUAUUUUAACAGCACUAAAUGGAACAGGCGACAAAAUACUACAAAGAUAUUGCUAGUCGCCGCAAAAGAAACACGCACGGAGGCAGUUUAGAGGCAAUCGUUGCGCCGAUUGAGCAACAAUGUGCCCACACAACUACUUAAAACUGGGUAUAUCACGAUAAUCAGUCGUGCAACAGAGCUCUCUGGGGCGAUAUAAAUGGGUAAUUCCAACUAGGCGCAGAUGCAUCACCUUUGGAGUUUCCCUCACCGUUCGCACUCUAAAGUGAAGCUCGACGUAAGUGCCUAUAGAGUACGAUAAGGAGUCUCCAUCAUUUCUCUGCCAAGGGCUCGAACGAGGAUGAGCAAAAUGGAACGGACUCACUCGGAGGAUGUGGGCGUGGUCUCGCCUGCGGUCGCUUUUUCGUUGUUGGUGUCCGGUCGUUGGUGGCUCGUCUCGUCGCCUUCAUGGUUGUGCCGACGCUUAGCUGGCGGCGCCAUGGAUAUGUCUGGUGUGCACCGCUGAGCCGAAUCCUGGCCGUUAGUAUGUUUCGCGGGCUUCUCUGGUGCGGGAGCUGGUCCCUUAUUUUCGGGAGCCGUUAAUUUUUAUUUUUUUCAUUGGUUCGUCUCGUCGCACUUAAGUUUUAAGUUUUUUCUUUUCUUAUAUAUUUUGUGACUCGAGCGGUUUAAUUUACGUAUAUUUAUUAAAUUGCAGAACAAAC